CCUGCACCCAAGAUCUUACCCAUUUCUGUUCCAGGUCCGCAUUCAACCUUAAAAAGGUCGCCCGACCUGGGCCAUUUCUGAUGAUCACCAUCUCCGCCUCGGUACGAAGUUGCCGAGACAAUGUACAUGGUAGGAACUCACCUCCGAAACAAGGGAUAGUGGGGCUUUUGCAUCCUUUCAGCCUGACCAUUGCGAUAAGUUUUCCCUCAGGGUUGAAGCCAACUACCCUCUCGUCCCUCCAUCUAGCCACCCACACGUUCCCCACACCGUCAACACAAAGCCCAUCGUAAGCGCCUUGAGUGGGGUUCUCAGCAUCAAGUGCGGGUGGAGGAAGAACAAAUGUGCGCUUGUUAGACCAGUAAGGAGGGGUCGUCGAAUAAGUAUAAGCCGACACAAGAUCGUAGCGGGAAUCAAUAUAGUCUAAUAGCUCGUAAGUUAGGUUGUAACAGUAGAUUGUCAGGACGAUUGAAUACGGACAGACGGUUCGACCGUCAGGAGACCACCCCAGGCCGUUUGACACACCGACAUUGUUCAUGGUCUCCACUGCUUUUCCUUUAUCCCACCUAGUCAUUCUGUUAGCUAGCGGAUUUAAAGGAACAUCAUAAUUUACAUACACGAAUAGCUUCCCCGGCAUUUCAGGCUUGUUUUCAUCGAUGCCCAUGCUUCCAAACCACACCCUCCCGUCAGGGUCUACCCCUCCAUCAUUAAACCUUAUGACGCCAUCUUUGACAAGUUUAGCAUCCAGAGUCUCAUCAAGGACAGCGUCAUAUUCCCUCUUGACAGGAGUAGGGCUUGUGGUGGUAGGCUUUGUUGCAGGCGGGAGCACCACAAGAGAUGAAGCGUUGGUCGCGAUGAAACCAGGCGCAUUAGCACGAGGAGUGAUGUAUGAAAGGCAGGGGGACUGCGGGUAAACAUCAAUCGAGCGAUUUCCUGUAGCGGGGUCUAAUCUAAAAGACACUGUACCUACGUAUGGAGUUCUGAACGGAAGAUGUCUACCCAGUGGAGAAGUUGAGUCCUCGAAUCCCACACGACUCCUUUCAGGCCAGGUAAGCAACUCUAUCAUUAGGAUAAUGCAGGGAACGCCACACCUUCGCCCAGGUUAUUCUGAGCUUCGAGUACAAGUUCGGCUUCGACGACGGGAUGAUUAUGGGUGGUCAUCUUGGAUUGGAUUGGAUUAGUGGCUAUCUCUGCGUUGCGAAUGGAAGGAAUGUACCAUGGAAGACGGUAUUAAUAGAAGGCCGUUUAUCGGGUGAAGUAACUCUUGGCCGUGCUGCUUCGUCC
rnacentral:sRNA from 1 species